CCGGUAGAAGUGGGUGUGACAUGUCGUCUAGCUGGGACAGCUUCAGUGGAAAUUGCUUCACGAACACAUGGGAUGGCUGGUGACGCGGUUUGAAUCUUUGGCGGCGGCUUCCACGGCGGGCGGGUGGAACCUAUGUGAAUCUGGCGGGGCCUUUGUGUAUCCAAGUGCGAGGGUGCAUGCGAUCAAGCCGGUGGUUUUAAUUUUGUCCUCCUCGCGGAGGGGUGCGGUGGCAGUGCACAGUCUGGUUCUGGUUGCAAUGAAUUGGUGUGUACGACUGGAAACGACAAUGGUGCGUUGACGACUGUUGGUGUUAUGUUUUAAACCUGCUUGGACAUUUUCUCGUAGACUGAAGCUAGUGAACUAUUCUCAAUAUUGAUUUGCAUGUUGUUGAUCUUUACUUGCAUGUUGUUGAUCUUUACUGUAGAUUCUUUAGUAGAUACUUUGUUCCGAUUGUAUCACCAUUCAUUAUGCUCAUGCAUGUGACUGUGAUUGGCUGAGGAUAGUGAGUACGUAGUUCGUCACAUUCUUGGGGACAUGGGAGAAACCCGGCCGUUUGAUUCUAUAUGAACUGGCAAUGAAUUAUAAUUUGUUUAAUUUA